GGGGAGGCCUGGCUGGGGAAAGGCAAUCCCGGGAAGGAGGGGCAGACCAUCAGAACCGAGGAUGGCACUGAGCCUUAACAUCACACAUCCAUUUGGAUACUCCGGGAGCCAGGUCAGGGGACCUCCUAAAGCCCUGCAGCUCUGAAACUAUGAAAAUUCAUCUCCUUGUUUCCUAUCUAAUUUAAAUCUUGCAAUCACCGCUGGGAAGUGAGCUGUAUCAUCUUGAGAAAUCAGACCACAGAGUCGGGCCUGCAGCUGGCAGGCUAGGUCAUCUUUAAUCGCUUAACCCUUCAUAUCAAAGGAUGGGUUGUAGCAGCAGAUUCUUCCUCAAGAAUUUGCCGUGGCAGAUUUUCUCAAGGAAAAGCUGGGAGUUAAAAUGAAGCAGAGUAUGUACAGCAAAAACCUUGCCUUAAAUGCACAUUAACAAGUCAAGUGUGGGCAGUGCUGGUGUUCUCCAGUGAUACUUUACUGAGGCCUUGGGAAGAAAGCCAAGAAGAAACCAGCCCAGGGAGGAUGCUGAGGAUGCUGCACUGUGACUUGCUCCUCAGCAGCGAAAGGAUUUCCCUCAUCCCCGCUUCCAGCUCAUCUUCAUGGGGUGGGCAUCACUUCCGCACCUGUUACCCAGGAGCGCACCCCCGGGCGUCUUGACUCCUUGAAGAACGGUGCCUAUGAAAUGCGGCUCUGAGAGAAACAAGAUUCUCUUCGCUGCCUGAGGCCUGCCUUUCGGGAACCUGCCACCUCUUUGGAUAAUUGACUCUAGGGAUGCUUGUCCCUCUCAAGGGAGACCACAUGCACUUCCAGGGACAAGACUUUUACCCUGCAGACCACAACAGGGUAUCCGGAUGUAAUUAUAAUGAUUGGCCUA